rnacentral:rRNA from 1 species
AUUGAACGCUGGCGGCAGGCCUAACACAUGCAAGUCGAACGAGUGGCGGACGGGUGAGUACUGUCUGGGAAACUGCCCGAUGUCGGGGGCUAACUACUGGAACCGGUAGCUACUACCGCUUACCACCGGUUGUGCCCAGAUGGGAUUAGCUAGUUGGUGGGGUAACGGCUCACCUAGGCGACGAUCCCUAGCUGGUCUGAGAGGAUGACCAGCCACACUGGAACUGAGACACGGCCCAGACUCCUACGGGAGGCAGCAGUAGGGAAGAUUGGGCAAUGGGCGAAAGUCUGACGGAGCAAUGCCGCGUGAAUGAAGAAGGUCUUCGGGUUGUAAAGUACGUUCAGCGGAGAGGCGGUACUCGCAGAGAAAGCAACGGCUAACUACGUGCCAGCAGCCGCGGUAAUAC